AAUGAACGCUGGCGGCGUGCCUAAUACAUGCCAGUCGAGCGACCGGACGAGAAGCUUUCUUCUUUGCUGUUAGCGGCGGACGGGUGAGUAACACGUGGAUCACCUACCUCUAAGUCUGGGAUAACUUCGGGAGACCGGAGAUACUACCGGCUCAUAUUAUGUACCGCUUGGUUCAAAAGUUAUAGACAGUCUUCCUGUCACUUUUAGCUGGUUCCGCGCUGCAUUAGCUAGUUGGUAAGGUCACGGCUUACCAAGGCAACGAUGCAUAGCCGACCUGAGAGGGUGAUCGGCCACACUGGAACUGAGACACGGUCCAGACUCCUACGGGAGGCAGCAGUAGGGAAUCUUCCACAAUGGGCGAAAGCCUGACGGAGCAACGCCGCGUGAGUGAUGAAGGCCUUCGGAUCGUAAAACUCUGUUAUUAGGGAAGAACAUAUGUGUAAGUAACUGUGCACAUCUUGACGGUACCUAAACAGAAAGCCACGGCUAACUACGUG
rnacentral:rRNA from 1 species